GCUUCCCUAUGGUCGGCCUGCCUCGGCGGCUCAAAGGACAUGUCCAGCAGCUGGCGCAGGUCCACACCGCGGUAGGUGAACUUGCGGGAGGUCCGCUGCUUCUCCUCUACCUCUGCCAUCUUGCCGGAUCCUCUGAAAAUGAUUCCUAUUAUCUGUGCAUCUCGGAAGUAGUGAUCCAGCAUGGCAGACCCUAAAUAUGCAACAAGAGAAAGUGACCAUCAGGAAAUCAUCUUUUGGGAACUUAUCUAAGAACUUCUUAUGAGCAAAUAUCCUAAAAUUCAGAUUGUUAAAAUGAUGUGAAGAAAAAAUGAACAGGAAACUGAUGCAGAGGCCAGAAAGAAUAUUCAAACACAAAUUAUCCAUUUUCAAAAAAUGACACUGCUCCAGGACCCUGUGGGUAUGAGGCUGGAUAAUUGAUUCUCUACUUCCAACUUACUCAUGUGCAUUUGAUACCUCUAACAAAAGGAGUAAAUUUUUCACAAUUCAA
rnacentral:antisense_RNA from 1 species